AAAAACCUUAUUUGACCUGUUUCAAAAUCGUCAGUAAAUAUUCAAAACAAACGAAUUUUUGUAUAGCAUUAUGCAUCAUAGUCAUAAAGUCUUUAAAUAAGUCAUUUGAAGUACUCAAUAUUGUCAUUUAAUCUAAAAUAAAAACAUCAGGUAAAUAUCAGGUCUUUCGUAUAUCCGGUUAUUAGUGUGUCCCAAAAAUCGGACACAUGUUUACAAACAUGUGAAGUUGAGCAUUUACCACACAAGCCACAAGCCGUAUGUAGACAUGCACGCACAUUUAAUCUGCAGCUACGAAGUACUUUAUCAAUCCUAUGGAGCAUUACCUUAACAGAAUUAUCCGAUUUAUAAAUUUUUGUGUGAAUUGUUUACGAGGAAAUUCCGACUGUAACAUUAACAAGCCGUGACUGUGGUUCGUAGUUCCCAGUGAUAAAUGUAUCGAGUGAUGAAAGAGUCGACGGUGACAUUUUAAAGUCUGAUUGGCGUGAACCAUCGGAAUGCAGAUGACUGCAGGAAUGGUUUGUUUGAUUAUUGGCCUAUCAAACAUUUUCCAGUCAUUUGAUGAUGCCACCACUUAGGAUAGUAAGCUGCAAAUAUAGACUUGUACUCAGCACUUAUUGCCUUUGAAAAGUAAGGGAUCCUUUUGACACUGAAUCUCGGUUUAUACGGUCUCAUUGGAGUAACCUGUCUCAAGCAUUUAGCAAUGGGAUUGGAACCUGAGAUGUGUGACUCAUCUGAAUACUGAAUUUUGAUACCAAGCAUGACCAUGAUUUGCCAGAAGAUCAUCUGUUUGGAUGUGACAUGGAAUAAACAGCAUAGUGAAAAUAAGUCAAGUUUUGGUUUGUGAAGACAACUUUUAAACACACUGUGUAUUAUUUUUAAAUUUUGAUUUGACAACAUAAAUCAACAAAUAUGAACAUAUCAAUUGCUCUCAGUUUUUCAAGUGAAAUAGUUAUUGUAACAGAAAUACAUGUACCAGUAAUAACAUUGGAAUAAAUGUUAUUUUAAAUAUAAUAAUAUUUUGUUUGUGUUGCAUGUUGACCUCUUUAUUAAGGUCUUCCCUUUCAAAGUUUAGACUUACUUAUUCUAAUGAUUAAGAUAGAUCCUCUGUCUUCAGCAGGAAUAUAAGAUCUUGUAAUAUAUGUAUGUGUAUCUUUUACAGUAUAAUGUUAAAAAAAAUGUUAUUUUGGCACAUACAACUAAAUAAAGGCAUAAACGUGUAUGAUUCCAAGGAAUUCAGUACAUAGGGCAUGUACAUGUAGUUUUCUAAAACAAGAUUGAAGAGAUGUCCAGUCGCAUUUCAAUGUCAACUGCAAAACUGUGCCUGUUGCAUACUUAUUAGCCCAUCUGAGCUAAAGGAACCAGUAAAUUUUUUAAAAACAUAAUUUUAUCCAUUAUCAUCAUUGUCUAAAAUUUCACAAUAUCAUUUUCCAGAACCAAAGUGAAACUUGGCACAGAGCAUCCUUAGUGUAGGGGAUUCAAAUUGUUCUUAUGCAGGGCAAUACCUUCAAAGAGAUUUGUUUCUUUAAUGCUGUAAAUGUAUUAUAUUUAGCUUGUACAAUAUUUGGUGGAAAUUGACUUUUGAAUAAGUUAGCGUAGAUGUUCUUAUUUAUGUUUAUGUACAAGACUUUUAGCUUUGUACUUGAUUUAGUGAUUGCUGCAUUCCGCCAAAGCCGCUAAAAAGAAUUCACAGCCAUAUGUAUUAUGUUUACAAUAUACCUUUCAGAGAAUUUUACACUCCUAUUGAGGUACCACCAUUUGCUAGUGGAAAGCUGCAAAUUUGAAACAUACACAACACAUUUCUGUGCGUUUAUUAUAAAAGUAUUGUUCUACUAACUGAUUGCAACUAAUGAAGAUUGUUCAUCAUUAUUGUAAAUACAUUUGGAUUUUUUGAUUUAUUAUAUAAUUUGUUUAUUUUAUUUACCUAGUUAUAUUGUAUAUUAAAUGAUUUUAAAGCCAUUUUUAAGAUGGUAAUGUAGCAAAACACUUAUGUUUCUGUAGUAUGACACGUUUCACAAACAUAAUUGCAACAAACAUGAUAUAUCCGAUAUCAAAAGUCAUAAUAUUGGAAGUUUAACUGUUGUGGAUACGAUUUCAAGAAUGCUGUUAGAGAGAGUACCUUUUAGACCUCAUGCUCACACCAAAUUAAAGAAUUCAAGUAAGGGUUUUUGAGACAAAUCGAAAAAGAGAAUGUUAGCAAAGUUGACAAUCUAGACAGAAACAUUUAAUCUUUUGCUUAUCGCUAGGAAGGAAGACCCACUCGUUGCUUUGCAACGA